AAUGCCAAGAUAGAUUUCCAGAGCAUGCUGUCCUCCUGGGACAGUCUGGCUGGAACCACCGUGCCGCCUCUGAUUGGUUUUGACUGCGUUAUCGCCUGGGGAAGCCAAGUUUGGUCUCAUUCGAGCUUGUCAGGGUCACUUAGGCAAAGAAAAGAAAUCCAUUCUUGAAAUCGAAGGAUUUCCUUUCUCCAUACUACUGGAUGCCAGGUUGCAUGGCUCUCUUGGUGCAGGGGGGGAGGCUGGCGACCGGGGCUUCGAGGGGCAGGGUGCCUCUCAGAUGCAGGCUGCUGGGAACAAGGACAGAUGGGCUCUUCCUCUCCUGUUACCGUGUCUCCCGAUGAACCAUGUGCCUGUUCUGGGCUCGAGGUCCCUGUGGGGUCGGAGAUGGUCAUUUCUUUCCCCUUCUUUGGCUCUGAACUCCUGGAGAAAGGAGUUUACACCACCUCUUGGUCCCUUCUUGGUCCUCACCCUCCUUGGUGCCCUAAGGAGGGAGCGGAAGCCUGUCAGUGACCACUUUGGAAAGGUUUUCUGAACAGGGCAGUGACUGCUCGGUCCCAGAACAAGAGGGAAAAAAGAGGGUACACCACAGCAAGUGCCGUCACUACUGGUCUCACCUUGGCUGCCACCUAACCUACUCAGGGCCUCCCUGGGGGCAGCUUAGGAUUUUUUUUGAGCCCAACUCUGAGUUCAGCAUUGUUCCCAUAAGGAGGCUUUUCUUUUCGCCUGUCAUGCCUGCAGUAGACUCUCUUCGCCUGGCCCUAGAAAACAUCGUGAAGCCUGAAGUGGCCUCUGUCACAGGUGCAGGGAGCGCAGACAGACCCCGGCUCCUUGGCGAGAGCAAAACCCACAUCCCCGAGGAGCCUGCAGCCGCACUGUCUGCUGCGAUGCUAUUUUUGACACGCUUGCUCGCUCCCAGGACUUGACAACCGCUGUCUCCAGGAGACAGACAAACCCAGCUCUUGGCAGCAGAGCCACUUUGCUUUGGAAAAGAACAGAGGAAGACAGUCUGGCGGCGGGAGGGGUGGGGACCACGCCUUCCCUCUCCUCCAGGAGGCCAGCACCCGGGCGUCAGGGUCGUGGAUCUGAGGUUGGGGCACCGCUCCCACUGGGACAUCCAUCCUCCCCUCCCGGAAAGUGGUCCUAACGCGAAUAAGAAGGGCACCAUUCAUUUCAAAAAGCAUCUGAAAUGGCUGCCUGCAGAAUUAGAUGCGUGGAUAUAGGUACAGCGUCUAUGCAGCAUGCAACGCCAUUUAACACUGUGGUGACAGUGUGCUCUGUAGCCACAUCUAAGGCGGAUACAAGGUUGGUAUUAUGCUCAGUGUUGCUGUCCUUGGACAACAAGAGCCGUAGGUAGGCAAGGCAUUGUUUUCCUCUUUGGCAGAGGGGACAGUUGGAGCUCAGGGGGCAGGUUCACGGGCAUCGCCUGGCCCCUCACCCUCAGGGGAGAUGUGAUGAGCAGAGGGCAGACAGGGUCUGCUUGGCACCCACAGUCCGAGAGAAUGAAUCCGUGGCCCCUGAAUGUGUGCAGGGCUUUUAUUUUCCUGCCACACUGUCUUUUUGAUAGAAAACCAGUAGGCGGCCUGUGCUCUUUUUCUUCCGGGCUCUGAAAGCUCAUGACUGCACCAACAUCUUUCAAGAAGGCCUUUCUUCACUCUGUCACAUCUUAGCAUCCUUAGGUGCUAGAGCUUUCCUCACAUACUUCCUCGCACCUUCAUCCUUGGGAUAGAUGCAGGGUCUCACAGCUAACAGAACCCAUAAGCUGGACUCAGAUCAGGGUUUUCCUACACUGUUCUAGCAGCUUUCAAGAUCCCACAUCCCUGGUCCUCGCUCUCAGCAUCCCUCAUUGCUCCCUGGCCACCUUCAGGUCCCUGUGCAGGUGGGGUACCUGUGGCAUCCUCGGGUGUGGCCAGCUUCCCUUUCUCCUUUCAGGCAGAGGAUACGGGAGACUCGAGUCAGAAGAAGCGGCUCCCUGACUCCUGUGGGUUGGAGGAGCAGGGGCCGCACCAGGGACCCCCACUCAGGUCAGAACACUAUAGGUGCCCUCAGCUUCUUCCCACCGCCACCACCACAGCAUCCUCUGGGGGACCCAGCCUAGGGUGGGGCGACGGCACCACCCUCCCCAUUCCAAAUUUCAGGCUUCCCGGCUUCCUUGCUUUUGGAGUCAGAGAGCUUGGGUCUGAACCCAGUUUGUAAGCUGCACCUCACCUAAACCCCUCCAGCCUUCAGUUUUGUCGUCUGCAAGAUAAGGGGGUGAAUUCCACUUACCCCACCCAGUUGUUCUGAGCCUGCAAGUUCAAAGGUUUAGCAGCACAGCCCAGCUUUCCCCUUUACCAGGCAGCCGAGGGGGGGCCUCAGUGACAGAGAUCCGCCACUGGGGGUGCAGCUGGAAAAGCACCACCUGUACCUUCAAAGAUGCGGCGGCAGUGGCAGCGGGGUGGGGUGGGGUGUCUCCAGCUGACUGCAGUUUUGUUCUCUGAAACCAAUGUUUAAAUGAAAAUGACCUAAAAAGAGACUCAGGAUAGCAAGCUUCUGAACUCGAAGGCCCUUGGCCGGAAGGAUUCACAGGAGAAUCUUUAAAAAUAAAUUGCCCUGAAGAUGUGAUUUGCUAUCUAGGAGGUAAUCUGAGUGUGUCUUUAAGAACACGAUGGAUAGACCUGUAGUCUUUUUUUCACUGCUUCCAACCAGAAAACAAGGAGGAGUGUCACUUAGCCCUUCCCGUGAGACCUAGGAUUGGGUAGGGCUGUCUCCAGGGUCACGGAUGGACAGAUGAGAGAGCUGGAAGGGGUCGUGAGUGUCCCCUUGUGUGAAGGAGGGGACCGAUGUGGACGAGAAGCAGGACUAACUGGGUCACACAGGCAGUUGAGGCAGAGCUGAGCCCAGGACUCACAUGUUCUGACUCCAACGCAAGUAUAUUUUCCCAUGGAAAAUGGAAGCCUAAAGAUUAUGCAAAACAUCUUUCAAAACUCCAGCUUUAGGAAGUUCCCUUGUGGCGCAGUGGGGAGUUUAGGAUCUGGGGUUGCUGCAGCUGUGGUGCAAGCUGCACCUGAAGCACAAGUUCAAUCCCUGGCCCGGGAACUUCCAUGUGCUGUGGGUACAGCCAAAAAAAUAAAUAAAUAAGUAAAUCAAACCAAGGAGUUCCAGUUGUGGUUGAGUGGUAACGGAUCCAAAUGAUAUCUGAGAGACUGUGGGUUCGAUCCCAGGCCUCACUCAGUGGGUAAGGAUCCGGCGUUGCUGUGAGCCGUGUUAUAGGUCACACACAAGGCUCAGAGCCUGUGUUGCUGAGGCUGUGGUGUAGGCCGGCAGCUGCAGCCUGGGAUUUGACCCCUAGCCUGGGAACCUCCAUAGGCUAUGGGUGCAGCCCU
rnacentral:lncRNA from 1 species